CCUACGGGGGGCUGCAGUGGGGAAUAUUGGACAAUGAGGGGAACCCUGAUCCAGCCAUGCCGCGUGUGUGAAGAAGGCCCUCGGGUUGUAAAGCACUUUCCGUGAGGAAGAACGCCUGGUGGUUAAUACCCAUCAGGAAAGACAUCACUCACAGAAGAAGCACCGGCUAACUCCGUGCCAGCAGCCGCGGUAAUACGGAGGGUGCGAGCGUUAAUCGGAAUUACUGGGCGUAAAGCGCGCGUAGGUGGCUUGAUAAGCCGGUUGUGAAAGCCCCGGGCUCAACCUGGGAACGGCAUCCGGAACUGUCAAGCUAGAGUGCAGGAGAGGAAGGUAGAAUUCCCGGUGUAGCGGUGAAAUGCGUAGAGAUCGGGAGGAAUACCAGUGGCGAAGGCGGCCUUCUGGACUGACACUGACACUGAGGUGCGAAAGCGUGGGUAGCAAACAGGAUUAGAUACCCUAGUAGUC
rnacentral:rRNA from 1 species